rnacentral:rRNA from 1 species
UGGGGAAUUUUGGACAAUGGGCGAAAGCCUGAUCCAGCAAUGCCGCGUGUGUGAAGAAGGCCUUCGGGUUGUAAAGCACUUUUGUCCGGAAAGAAAUCCUUGGCUCUAAUACAGUCGGGGGAUGACGGUACCGGAAGAAUAAGCACCGGCUAACUACGUGCCAGCAGCCGCGGUAAUACGUAGGGUGCAAGCGUUAAUCGGAAUUACUGGGCGUAAAGCGUGCGCAGGCGGUUUGCUAAGACCGAUGUGAAAUCCCCGGGCUCAACCUGGGAACUGCAUUGGUGACUGGCAGGCUAGAGUAUGGCAGAGGGGGGUAGAAUUCCACGUNUAGCAGUGAAAUGCGUAGAGAUGUGGAGGAAUACCGAUGGCGAAGGCAGCCCCCUGGGCCAAUACUGACGCUCAUGCACGAAAGCGUGGGGGAGCAAAACAGGAUUAGAUACCCUGGUAGUCCACGCCCCUAAACGAUGUCAACUAGUUGUUGGGGGAUUCAUUUCCUUAGUAACGUAGCUAACGCGUGAAGUUGACCGCCUGGGGAGUACGGUCGCAAGAUUAAAACUCAAAUGAAUUGACGGGGUCAUAGCUGUUUCCU